UUUUGAGUCUCAAUCGUGUGGACAUCAUUGGGAAUGGAGGGAAAUAACUGACUGUAUGGUCGUUGCUUUUCAAGUUUCAAACUGACAUUCCGGGCGGGCUGUGCCUGAGCCAGCAUCUGCUUUCAGAUCUUCACAGCCUGGUCCUGGGAAGGUGGGGACCUCAGCUUCUCCCUGAAGGUGGCAGAGUGUCAAGGUCGGGAUGCUGGACUGGAGGCUGGAUGCCACCGUGUACUGGCUGGUGGUUGAACUUCCCCUGCCCGCCAGGCGAGAGAGCUGCUCCUAAAGCAGCAGCAACCUGAGAGGGCGGACGCUUAAGGGAGAGCACACAUCUGGAGCAGCAUCUAGCAGGUGGGAUGAGCUCAACAAACGACGGCCAAGAGGACCCGGCUGUGUUCGGGGCAGCCCUGGGAAGGCUCGCACUCUGCUGACGGAUCAGUUAAAGGCUGAAACUUUCUGAACCACGGAAUAACUGGGAGAUGAAACAGGAAGCUUUAUGACACACUUGCUCGAAAAUGACACAGGCACCGAAAAACCAGGACUCAGCCCCCUGCAGCACCUCUACCUGCUGCCCACAGCCGAGUGCAGGGGAAGGGCUGGCCCUGGGACCUGACUCCAUCUGCCAUGGACUCUAAGGGCCUCCACAUUCAGUGGUGAUGUCUCUGCGAUAUUGUGGUUAUGGUCUAGUCUGGUCGGUUUCUUAUUAUCUGGCCAGUCUCUGUGUGUCUUCAUCCCUUUUCCUUCAUUAAAAGCAUAACGAAAGAAAAAUG